rnacentral:rRNA from 1 species
UACAGAGGAGCCAAGCGUUGUCCGGAUUGACUGGGCGUAAAGCGCACGCAGGCGGUUGCGCGCGUGGGGGGUGAAAUCUGGCCGCUUAACGGCCAGGCGCCAUCCCAUACGGCGCGACUGGAGUGAUGCAGAGGUCGAUGGAAUUGCCGGUGUAGUGGUGAAAUACGUAGAGAUUGGGAAGAACACCAGUGGCGAAGGCGGCUAUCUGGACGGUUUCUGACGCUAAGACGCGAAAGCGUGGGGAGCAAACAGG